rnacentral:rRNA from 1 species
AGAGUUUGAUCAUGGCUCAGAUUGAACGCUGGCGGAAUGCUUUACACAUGCAAGUCGAGCGGCAGCGCGGGGGCAACCCUGGCGGCGAGCGGCGAACGGGUGAGUAACAUAUCGGAACGUACCCAGUAAUGGGGGAUAACCAACCGAAAGGUUGGCUAAUACCGCAUACGCCCUGAGGGGGAAAGUGGGGGAUCGCAAGACCUCACGUUAUUGGAGCGGCCGAUAUCGGAUUAGCUAGUUGGUGGGGUAAAGGCUCACCAAGGCGACGAUCCGUAGCGGGUCUGAGAGGACGGCCCGCCACACUGGAACUGAGACACGGUCCAGACUCCUACGGGAGGCAGCAGUGGGGAAUUUUGGACAAUGGGCGCAAGCCUGAUCCAGCCAUUCCGCGUGAGUGAAGAAGGCCUUCGGGUUGUAAAGCUCUUUCGGCAGGAACGAAACGGUCUCUCCUAAUACGGGAGGCUAAUGACGGUACCUGAAGAAGAAGCACCGGCUAACUACGUGCCAGCAGCCGCGGUAAUACGUAGGGUGCGAGCGUUAAUCGGAAUUACUGGGCGUAAAGCGUGCGCAGGCGGUUUUGUAAGACAGAUGUGAAAUCCCCGGGCUCAACCUGGGAACUGCGUUUGUGACUGCAAGACUUGAGUGUGGCAGAGGGGGGUGGAAUUCCACGUGUAGCAGUGAAAUGCGUAGAGAUGUGGAGGAACACCGAUGGCGAAGGCAGCCCCCUGGGUCAACACUGACGCUCAUGCACGAAAGCGUGGGUAGCAAACAGGAUUAGAUACCCUGGUAGUCC